UACAGAGGGUGCAAGCGUUAAUCGGAAUUACUGGGCGUAAAGGGCGCGUAGGCGGCCUGCUAAGUCGAACGUGAAAUCCCUGGGCUCAACCCAGGAACUGCGUCCGAUACUGGUUGGCUUGAAUCCGGGAGAGGGAUGCGGAAUUCCAGGUGUAGCGGUGAAAUGCGUAGAUAUCUGGAGGAACACCGGUGGCGAAGGCGGCAUCCUGGACCGGUAUUGACGCUGAGGCGCGAAAGCCAGGGGAGCAAACGGG
rnacentral:rRNA from 1 species